CAUCAUGUGAGCUGCUUCCCUCUGCCACACUCUUCACCAUGAUGUCCUACUUCACCUUGAGCCUCGAGGAAUGGAGCCCGCUGUCUGUGGAUUGAGACCUCUGAAACUGGCAUUGCCUCCAGUGAUAAGGAGCCGAGACCCCUAAUGAUUCAAAGAACAAUAUGGAAGCAUUGACAUCCACAUGAUCAUGAUGGAAUAACAGAACUAGACUUAACCUUACACCUUCCACCUUAAACAACUAAAAAGAAAUGAAGAAAAUAAGUGCAACAAUAAUCUUUAAACAUUGAACACGCAGUGCUGGACAAUGAUCCCUCAAUGAAGGGGAACAAUCAGGUACUCUCAUGGUUCUUUCUGUACAACACAUCAGCAGUUUACUUGGAAAAACCUGGACUUGGGUUGCCCUCAGGUACUGAAACAAUGACAACAAAACUAUCCAUUAAAAAUGAAGGAGAGAUAAAGGUAUACUCAAACAAAAGAAAAAGGAAUAUACCUUCAUCAUUUCUACAGUAAAUACUAAAGGAAGCUCUUCAAACAGCAAGAGAGAGAUGUUAAUAAGUAAGAAGAAAGCAUGGGGAAAGAGAUAAGCAAUAUAAGAAAAUGCAAACUGUGAUAUCAAAAAUGCAAAUGGGGGUAGAAGUGCAAGUGUGGAGAUUUCUAAUUAGUAUAUUUUCUCUUGUUCUUUUGUCUGUUAUCCUUUCAAUAAUGUUAAGUUGUUAUUGUUGCAGAUGCUUGUUAUAAUCAAAACAUGUUGUUGUAAGCCUCAAGGUGACCACAAAACAAAAAUCUAUAAUAGAAAAACCAAAAAUAAUAGGCCAGGAAUUAAAACACUACAAGACUAAGUCACUUAACCACAAAGAAAGACUGCAAGAAAAGGAGAAAGAAAUGAAUUGCUACGAAGCUAGAAAACAAGUUAACAAAUAGAUGUAGUAAGACCUUACUAAUCAGAAUUACCUUGAAUGCAAGUGGAUUAAAUUCUCCAAUUCAAAACAUAGAAUAAAUGAAUGAAUUAAAAAAAAAAAAACAAGAUCCAACUAUAUGUUGUGUGCAAGAAACACACUUUGUGAUGAGCUGACAGAUUUGGCUCCAUGGAAAUGUUACAGGCCAGACUAUAUGGGAAUGACUAAACAGACUCCAUUUUGCUCUGAGACUCCAUGUUAUGUAGGAAAUGAGCUUCUCCCAUGGGAACACCCCAUCUCUGUACCCAUCAUUAGUUACUUAACAUGACAUGUUCAGCACUACAAAAUUACAAUUCUUAUGUGA